rnacentral:rRNA from 1 species
UACGUAGGUGACAAGCGUUGUCCGGAUUUACUGGGCGUAAAGAGCGCGCAGGCGGUCGUUCAAGUCGAGUGUGAAAGCCCCCGGCUCAACUGGGGAGGGUCACUCGAUACUGAUCGACUCGAAGGCAGGAGAGGGAAGUGGAAUUCCCGGUGUAGUGGUCGAAAUGCGUAGAUAGUCGGGAGGAACACCAGUGGCGAAGGCGACUUCCUGGCCUGUUCUUGACGCUGAGGCGCGAAAGCUAGGGGAGCAAACGGG